UCAGGGAAACCGAAACCACUAUCUCCACAAGGCAGUUAAUGAGGAGAAACUGAAGCGGCCGCUCUCACACAUGCAGGCGUGGGAGAUCGCCCAUACGCGGAAGGACCCCAAGCCUGGCGAGCCCAAGUACUACAGCAAGAAGACCGCAGGGAGGAAGAAGGCCUACUCCGAAGCGUAUCUGGAGUUACAUCCUGACCCACCUGACCCCAUUGCGGUGCCUCUGGACGACAUGGCGGUGGUGAGGAUGGGGCCCAAGGAGCACGGUCGGGAGGCGGUUCUCGAUGCUGUGAUCACUCCUAGUAUCUCCUACACACAGCUUCGUCGGAUCGACCCGAGCCUGAGCCAGCGCACGAGCCAGCCAGUGACUAGUACACAGUACCUCUUUCAGGAGCAACAAUCUGUAAGUAUUUUCCCUCUUAUCUUCAUUUCUCACUUCAUUUUCCGCAUUUAGUAGUUUUAUGAGUUCCAUCAUGUCAUACCGUAGGCCUACAUGGAGUACACAUGCCAGGAGACCAUGGCGUGGCAUCAGAGGCUUUAUGAACACCAAGUGCAGAGGGAUAGCCAGAUGCAGCAGGCUUUUCAGGAUAUGGCGGCCGGCAGGUGUCCUCAGUUCCCUCCAGCACAAUGCCCUCCAGCACAACCAGUGCUGAUGAGCUUUGAGGAGUUUGUGGCACAGAACGCUGGCCCCUCGCCGGGAACAGGUGGAUCUACCGUUGGCGGUGGUCUUCGCAGCACUCCGGAGACACGGAGCCCGACCACUCCGAC